rnacentral:rRNA from 1 species
GAUGAACGCUGGCGGCGUGCCUAAUACAUGCAAGUCGAGCGAACAGAUGAGAAGCUUGCUUCUCUGAUGUUAGCGGCGGACGGGUGAGUAACACGUGGGUAACCUACCUAUAAGACUGGGAUAACUCCGGGAAACCGGGGCUAAUACCGGAUAAUAUUUUGAACCGCAUGGUUCAAUAGUGAAAGACGGUUUCGGGUGUCACUUAUAGAUGGACCCGCGCCGUAUUAGCUAGUUGGGAAGGUAACGGCUUACCAAGGCGACGAUACGUAGCCGACCUGAGAGGGUGAUCGGCCACACUGGAACUGAGACACGGUCCAGACUCCUACGGGAGGCAGCAGUAGGGAAUCUUCCGCAAUGGGCGAAAGCCUGACGGAGCAACGCCGCGUGAGUGAUGAAGGUCUUCGGAUCGUAAAACUCUGUUGUUAGGGAAGAACAAAUUCGUUAGUAACUGAACAAGUCUUGACGGUACCUAACCAGAAAGCCACGGCUAACUACGUGCCAGCAGCCGCCGUAA